rnacentral:piRNA from 1 species
UGUCUUAUUCCCUCAUGGUGUA